GCGGGAGUAACUCAAUGGUAGAGUCUCUGCCUUCCAAGCAGAUGGUCGCGGGUUCGAGUCCCGUCUCCCGCU
rnacentral:tRNA from 1 species